UGGGGAAUAUUGCACAAUGGGCGAAAGCCUGAUGCAGCGACGCCGCGUGAGGGAUGGAGGCCUUCGGGUUGUAAACCUCUUUCGCUCAUGGUCAAGCCGCGACUUUGGUUGUGGUGAGGGUAGUGGGUAAAGAAGCGCCGGCUAACUACGUGCCAGCAGCCGCGGUAAUACGUAGGGCGCGAGCGUUGUCCGGAAUUAUUGGGCGUAAAGGGCUUGUAGGCGGUUGGUCGCGUCUGCCGUGAAAUUCUCUGGCUUAACUGGGGGCGUGCGGUGGGUACGGGCUGACUUGAGUGCGGUAGGGGAGACUGGAACUCCUGGUGUAGCGGUGGAAUGCGCAGAUAUCAGGAAGAACACCGGUGGCGAAGGCGGGUCUCUGGGCCGUUACUGACGCUGAGGAGCGAAAGCGUGGGGAGCGAACAGGAUUAGAUACCCUGGUAGUCCACGCUGUAAACGUUGGGCACUAGGUGUGGGGGCCACCCGUGGUUUCUGCGCCGUAGCUAACGCUUUAAGUGCCCCGCCUGGGGAGUACGGCCGCNAGGCUA
rnacentral:rRNA from 1 species